GGACCCGCACAAGCGGUGGAGCAUGUGGUUUAAUUCGAUGCAACGCGAAAAACCUUACCUACUCUUGACAUACUUGGAAGCUCUUGUAAUGAGAGUGUGCCUUUUGGAACCAAGAUACAGGUGCUGCAUGGCUGUCGUCAGCUCGUGUCGUGGAUGAUCGUUCAGUACGGAUAACGAGCGCAACCCUUACCCUUAUUUGCCAGCGAUUCGGUCGGGAACUAUAAGGGGACUGCCGGUGAUAAACCGGAGGAAGGUGAGGACGACGUCAAGUCAUCAUGGCCCUUACGAGUAGGGCUACACACGUGCUACAAUGGGGAAUACAGACGGACGCUAAGCCGCGAGGUGGUGCUAA
rnacentral:rRNA from 1 species